AUGGAUUUGCCCAAAUCUGUUCAGACAUGCCUGAAUUGCUUAUGUGGAUGCACUUAGCCUCAAACUGAGCUAUACUCUCAUGUGUGUGUACAGCACCUAGCGGAGCACUGGGAAACAGGUCCCACAACGAGUGGUGCUGCUGGUGGGAAAGGUAGUCACCGCAGCUUAUAUGGUAACAACUUUUAAACAUUCACGUGACGGACCACCUUCCCUCAGCCAAACAACUUCCCUGAAAGGCGCCCGAAGGAGCCUUCCCAUCCACCGCGGGUGCCCAGGAAAGGCCUGUGGGGCUCUCCUCCCCGCGCUCCACACGCCCUCGCAUCCCACCGAGGGGCCAGCUUCUGCCUGCACGUUGCUGAAACUGGCCUGGAGGUUCUGACAAGAAUUAGAGCGGCGGCCGUUGCCCCGGGGAUGACCUGGAAGCGAAAGAGACCGGCACGAAUUCUAGAGUUUCGGGGUUUCCG
rnacentral:lncRNA from 1 species